UAAAGAAUUUCUCAGAAUCAGUUUUAAGAUCAUUUUUAGAUCAAUCAUUUUAAUAAUCCAUGCAUGAAGAAAAUCAAGUUUUACUUUGACAAAGAUUAUUUGACAGAUUAGCCCAUGUCCAUAGUCACUUCUUGUAUAGUCUUUGGUAUAGUGCAAAAAAAGUUUCCUGGAUCAUGAUUACUCUACAGAUUACAUAAACUACUUUAGCACUUUUAGAAGAAUAAGUAAAGAUUUAGUCACAAUUCACUUUUCGUAAUUUCUAAUUGCUUUUCAUUGUCUGUUCCUUUUUACAAACAGCUGAUCUCUGUCCUGAUCCUGGGAUUCCUGCUGGCUGUACAAGAACAGGCCACAUGUUCAAUAUAAAGCUCCCCGAGUGGCGCAGCAAUAUGGCUGCCCACUGCUCCGGGUGUGUUAAUGAUCAGUUAUUACGAGGUCUCCCCAAACUAUGAGAUCCUAAAUUUGAGUAAACAGACGUUACAUGGAUAGUCUUCAAGAUUACCCGUUAGAGAAAGACUGGAGGAUUAUGAAUAUGUGAGUGAUCGAUCAGGAGCUAAUAUCGUCCAGACCUAUGAGAGGACUUUAGAGAGUAUGAAAAUAGAGCAGAUGGAGAAUAAAAAGAAAUUCCAGCAGACCCAACAUAUCAUCAUCAUUCUCACUUAUGGUCAACAUGGAUGGAAAUGCUAGACCAUGGGUGGACCAGAUCAAAGAUCUUGUAAACAAAAUACUUCUUUAGAGGAGGAGGACAACUUGAACUGUAUGUAUUUGUGAUGGGAGACGAUAUGAAUGCUGUGGACAUUAAUGAUUUGGGGACUGACAGGGGAAAUAAG